CACCACCUGAACCUGAACCAUCUAUUAGCAACAGGAGAUGUCUUGCCCUCCCGGUCUUAUUCAAUAUGAUGUUUCUCCAUGUACCUCUGGAUUGCACACCUGGUGGAUUCCCUCCUGCUGCAGCAUUCUGCAAUGAUCCCAAAGGCUCAAAUCAUCUUUUACCUUCUCACCGUCUCUACCUGCCUGACCUACCGCAGCGCAUCAUGGGGCACACGGGAAGGUUGAAGUGAGAGAGACGAGAGCAAUGGCUGAUGGGCCAGGCCUGUUGGUGACAAGGGGGAGGAGUGCAUCACUGGUUACCCAUCAGCACAUCCUCACUCACAGCCAUCGGGAUGUCUGUCAGUAGGUAAUUUAGAACACACACAAGCACACACCACCGCUUUUAGUAUGUUUCCAUAUGUAUCCAUCACAACAUACAUUCAUUCUUCUUAGUGAUUGACAACACACUUACACCACAAUGCUGAAGUAGUUUCUUAGAAACCCAUGAUUUGGUUGUAGGCAGGUCGAAUGUCAAACACAAUUCUCCAACUGCAUGUAAAUAGGCUUUUAUAUAAGAAACGUAGUACCCAACCAGUUCCGCAUUAGGCCCUUUCAGUCUGCUGCAGCCAGAGACUGGAAUGACUUACAAAUAACUCUAGGGCUGGAUACUCUCGUCUCAAAGGCGACUGCUAGCCUAUCCUGUCUUCUUUUUCCUGUGUCUUUGUAAUUGUCUUGUUAAUGUUUACUUAAUCUAGUCUUUAUAUUGUCUUGUUAAAUCACUAAUUUGGCCUUUUGCUUGGCAGAAUUAGCUCUUAAUCUGUCUGCUGAAGAUCACUGUUUUAAAUAUUUUCCAU